UAUUUUGCAGAUUUAUGCCGUCUCAAUUACCAUCCGUAUUGUGCUAGGAUUCAUGCUUAUUGCAUUGAUAUGGAAAUUUGAUUUCUCCCCUUUCAUGGUUUUGAUCAUUGCAAUCCUUAAUGAUGGUACAAUCAUGACUAUUUCAAAGGAUCGAGUGAAGCCAUCUCCAU